CCCGUUGAGCUACUCCAGCAUUUUGUGUCUCUUUUAUAAUAAAUUGCAUUAUGGGCAAUCAGCAGAAAACCUCUCAAAAACUAACAUUUAGUAUUAUAUUGAAAAUAACCACUUAAGUAUCACACGCAAGUGAAAAAGGGGGGUUGAAUGUAUAAGUGAGAGUUUAUCAUCGAGGAAAGCUGAAUUAUUAAACAAAAUAAAUCCCUAAAGCAAUGCUGCAAUAAAUAGAUCAGCAAAUAUAUUUGACAUUCUAAUUGGGUAGCUUUGUUAUUUUUCAAGAUGCAUAAAUGAAUUGAAAUCUUGGCCAUUAUUUUGUAGAUGCUGACAAAAGUUCAAAUGGUGCUGUAAAAAUUGUUUUCAGUUGUAAUUACAGAAGAUCAUAAGAUGGCACAUAAUGAGGCUCUUCUGGUGUUAAUGCUGUCAAAAUCGACUUUUAAGAAAUUAGAUGGUAGACUUAAAACUAGGUUAAAAGUUUUUGAAGGUUACUACAAACAGAAUUAAUAUCAGAAAUAUCAAGGUCUAACUCCUGAAAUUCAAAAUAACCAAAGACUGGGAGCUCUUUGUUAAAAUAAGCAGUCAUUCUACAUUGUGGACAAGCAAAGUUAUACGUGAGCAACUUAAUGGAUGGUGCAGUCAUCUCAGUAAGAUGAAUUAUCUGCACAUCAACAAAUCACAUGCGAUAUUAUAUAAUCAUUUUGGCAAGUACUUUUAAAAAUUGGUAUUUUGCUUUUACAUUGAACUAAAGUAAUGUCAUGGUUAAUACUGCAUACUCAAAAUUCUUUGGAUAUUAGAAAUGUAAAUAAUGCUGCCAAUUUCCAAAUUCAGAUACAGAUGAUGCAGAGUGACCACAAGAAGAAUGCAACCAAUGAACAAAGAUCCUAGUUCAUCAAAUUAAUAUGCAAAUGUACUAAAGUGAUGCACAGAGCCUUUUACCCAAAAUAGGGGAAUCAAGAACCAGAGGUUAUAGG